rnacentral:lncRNA from 1 species
UAAAGGAAAGCAAUUGUAGAAAUUUAUGUUAUCAGAUAAAGCACAGAGGUAGGUUUUGAAAAGAGUUCCAACUUACACUCUAACCUAACCUAACAGAACUUAUCACAACAGGCACACACUCAGUCGGGUGACCUUCUACAUGUAAGUACUUUACCAAAGCACUGGAAGGGGUUCCUUCUUCCUAGUGAAAACGGGGAAAAUACGUCUAAAUGUAUCACAACACUAAUUUCAUUACCUUGAAAGCUUAAAAAACACGUAUUCCAAAAUGUGUAACGAGGAUUCAGUUUAUCUAUUAAUCCUACCGUGCAAUGUAAGAGCCUUAAGACAACUGAAAACCAGAACUAAGGACUUCAGGUACAUUAUAGUUUUCAUGGAUGGAAAUCACUUUAAAAACUGAAAUAAUAAUAAACCUUUUCUUGGUCAAUAUUUUAAAAACUGAUUUAGCACAGAUUUUAAAAGUGGACCUCACCUUUGUUUCUGGUCCAAAAUAUGCAGCUUCAAGUCUCUAAGUGACAAGUUUGAAAUAUAAGGAUGAUAAGUAUUAAAUUUUAUCCUUUUACUUUAUACAGAGAAAAUCAUUAUAUUGUAGAAACAACAGUUGCUAGGUAUAAAGAGAGGGCUAUACCAAGCAGAUUAUUAUAAACAGCUAAAUCCAUUUAUCAAACUUAUUUAAUCCCACCAUCUUCCUAUUACCACAACUUUUUCCUAAGUGCUGUAGAACAUUCUUUGUAGGACGGAACUCAGCUUUCCAAGGAAAUUCUACGGGUCAAGAAAAGAAGGAAUCAACAAUAAAAUGUGCUGAUGAGGCUAAAUCCAAAAUUCCAGAAAAAUGUAGUUAUCAGUGCACUGACCACUAAACCAAGCAUUGUCAUUAAAUUCACUUAUCACGUGAGUGUGGUACGAUAGGAGAAGUAUAUAUAUUUACCAUGAAAUCCUACCCCUUGGCCAAGCAUAUCACUCAACUCGGUAAGCACUCAGAAGGGGACUUGUCGGCCACAUGAUACUUCUAGUUUAAAGAUCCGAGGAACUGCCACACCGUCUCCACAGCGGCUGCACUAUUUCACGUCCCCGGCAGCGCAGCGCAGCUUCCAGUUGUUCCACACCCUCCUCAACACUUCUCUGUUGCCAGUGGGGUGACUGCCGUCCUCAUGGCUGUGAGGUCUUACCUCACUGAGGUUUCGACCGCAUUUCCCUAAUGAGCAAUGACAGUGACCUAUUUUCAUGUGCUUAGUGGCCACGUGCGUAUCUUCUUGGCAUAAAUAUAUUUUCAAAUCCAUCCUCUGUCCAUUUUUUAAAUGGGGAUUUUGGUUUUGUUGUUAGGCUGCAGGUAUUCUUUAUAUGUUUUUAUAUAUACUAGGGAUAUUAACCCUUAUCAGAUAUAUGAUUUUCAAAUAUCUUCCUAUUCUGUGGGUUGCCUUUUCAUUGUGGAUAUGUCUUUUUAUGUAUCCAAGUUUUAAAUUUUGUUCAAGUUUAUCUUUUCUUUUGUUGUCUAUGUUUUCGGUAUCAUAUGCAAGAAAUCAAUGCCAAAUCCAAUGUUUGUGAAGCUCUUACUCUGAGUUUUCUUCUAAGACUUUCACAGUUUUAGCUCUUAUGUUUAGGUCUCUGAUCCAUUUUGAUUUUUUGUUUUAUUUUUAAAUUUUAAUUUUUUUUUGCUUUUUAGGGCCACACCUGCGGCAUAUGUAAGUUUGCAGCUGCUGGCCUACGCCACAGCCACAGCCACAUGGGAUCUGAGCUGCAUCUGCAACCUACACCACAGCUCACGACAAUGCUGGAUCCUUAACCCACUGAGCGAGGCCAGGGAUCGAACCCACAUCCUCAUGAUACUAGUGAGAUUUGUUUCCACUGCAUCACAAUGGGAACUUCCAGUUCGUUUUUGCAUAUGGGGUAAAGUGAGGUCCACCUUUAUAUAUUUUUUGCAUGCUUUAAAAAAAUUUCUUUUAGUGAUUACAACCAAACUUGAUUUAUCAGAGUCUGACAUCAACGGGUACAUGUGUAGAAAAGGCUUGAGAUGACUGCUACCCAUACAAAGACCUGUUUGUAAGACUGGCCCAGGGGUCUAGGAGCUUAAGAUCUUAGGUAAGAGCAGCUCACUGGGCCAAGAGGGCCUAAACAACGUGGUUUACGCUGAACAGCCGAGUUCCUUCUUUGGUACGAAUCCGACUCAGCCCCCAGUCACAAAGCAGGCACCGAGUCUCCGAGGAGCUUUCCUGGUGGACAGCAUCUCGAAUGUGCUGUCCUAACGUAUCGCUGGAGGAACCAGGUGUGUCCCAGGCGAGGACUCUGGCAGGCUUACAUCUGAUUUUCCCCAAACCCACCCUGUGUGCCUUCUCCCUCUGCUCGUUUUGCUUUCUAUCCUUUCACCAUAAAUCACAGUCAUGAGUCCAACUGCAUCCUGUAUCACGUGAGUCCCCCAAAUGAAUCACUAAGCCUCGGGGAGGCACGGAGGACCCCCAACUAUAAGGUACUUAAAACAGUUAUAGUACUUAACCUCAUUUCAGCUUACAUGCUUCUAUUGUCGUAUGUUCAUUAUACCCUAAAAACACUAUUAUUCUUGUGUAAAUGGUAUUAGCUGAUAUAGACAUUUUGAUCAUCAAUUCUUCUCUCUCUGACCUUUCAUCUCAAAUCACUUUCCUUCCUCCUAGAAAAUACUCUCUAGUAUUUUCUUUACUACAAUGGAUCUUCUAAGUAACAAAUUACCUUAAUUUUUAGUUGAGUAAAAAUAAAUUUACUUCCCAAUGUUCAUUGCAGCACUAUUUGCAAUAGCCAAGACAUGGAAACCACCUAAAUGUCCAUCGACAGAGGAGUGGAUCCAGAAGAUGUGGCACACAUAUACACAAUGGAAUAUUACUCGGCCAUUAAAAAGAACGAAAUACCAGCAUUUUUUGCAACAUGGAUGGACCGAGAAACUAUCAUGCUAAGUGAAGUUAGCCGUACAAUAAGACACCAACAUCCAGUGCCUUCACUGACAUGUGGAAUCUGAAAAAAGGACAGACGGAACUUCUUUGCAGAACAGAUGCUGACUCACAGACAUUGAAAAACUUAUGGUCUCCGGAGGAGACAGUUUAGGGGGGUGGGGGGAUGUGCUUGGGCUGUGGGAUGGAAAUCCUGUGAAAUCAGAUUGUUACGGUCAUUAUACAACUACAGAUGUGACAAAUUCAUUUGAGUAAUACAAAAAACUGGAAAAAAAAUAAAUUUACUUCAUACUUAUUCUUGAAGUUUCUUUUUGUGAGUAUAAAAUCCUGGGUUGGUAGAAUUAUUUGAUGGCUUCUGUUGAGAAUCAGAUGUCAGUUUAAUUAUUGCGCAUUUAAGGGAAAUUUCUUUCCUUCUAGCUGCUUUACAGAUUUUCUUUGCAGCUUGGAUUUUUGAGUUUUUUCUGAGGUGCGCACACGCACAUGCACACAGGCUUCUAUUUCUCUUGCACACCCCUUAUUCACGAGGCUUUGAGGCUCAGUGAAUGGUUCUGACUGACUUUCAAACCGAGGUCACAAGGAUCAUAUUCAAGCAGUUUUUCUCAUGAACUGAGUCUAGUGUUGUCUGCUUAGGGUCUGAAAGGGCUUUACUACAUUUUUGGCUGGAUGUUUUAAUUUAAUUUUUUCCAAUACUCUGCUCUAUUUUCUUCCUCUUCUCUUUUUUUGGUUAAAACCCCAGUUGCACAAAUAGUUAGGCCUUCUCAACGUAUCUUUGCCUCUUACCUUUUCUUUUGCAUUUUCCAUUCUUUUAUCUCUGUGCUUCAUUUUAUAUUUUUUCUGACCUUUCUUAGUCUUACUUCAAAUAAUUUGUUUAAAAUGCUGUAGAAGCUAUUAACUGAGUUAUUUACAUUAUUCUAGUGCUUUAUUAAUGGAAUUUCCAUCUAACAAAUAUUUCCAGUUCUACACUAAAAUUCUCAAUCCUGUCUUUUGCUCCUUGAACAUAACACAUCGAAUUAGUUUUGCUGUGUAACAAAUCGCCUUCAAAACUUGGCUUAAAACAAUGACCAUUUAUUUCGCUUCGAAUUCUGCCAGUUAGCAAUGAACCAGACUCAUUUGGGUGACACGUCUCAUCUUGGUUGGGCUCACUCCUGCAUCUAUGCACCACUCAUCUACACCGAUUCUGUCACAAGUUGAGGGGCAGCUGGCUGUCGGCUGGAAUGCCUUGGCGAUCUUCCAUGUCCUC